GAACUCUGCUAUUUGCCCUGUUGGUCUCAGUUCCAGAGCAUCUCUCAUACAGUUCUGUUUGAACACACCACCUGCUACGCCUAUUGACCAGUCAGUCCUCUGAGGAGAAACUGGGAAAGUGGCCCGAGGUCUAAGAGCUGGAAACAAACAGUAGAACCAGAAUGUGAAUCCAGAUCUAUGAUAAAACUAUGGAGAAGAAGAUGGAGCCAGAAGUGUACAAGCCCCUCCCUUCUCUGAAUCCCAUCCCAUCCAGCAGAAGAGGCAAGUGUAUGUGGUUUUGGAGCAUUAGAUGAAGCAUCUUACAAAUUUCCUGUAAACGUGUGUGAUAAAAUGUGAACAAAGAUGAAA
ensembl:lncRNA novel transcript